CAGCAGUGGGGAAUCUUGCGCAAUGGGCGAAAGCCUGACGCAGCAACGCCGCGUGCGGGAUGAAGGCUUUCGGGCUGUAAACCGCUUUCAGCAGGAACGAAACUGACGGUACCUGCAGAAGAAGGAGCGGCCAACUACGUGCCAGCAGCCGCGGUGACACGUAGGCUCCAAGCGUUGUCCGGAUUUAUUGGGCGUAAAGAGCUCGUAGGCGGUUGAGUAAGUCGGGUGUGAAAACUCUGGGCUUAACCCGGAGACGCCAUCCGAUACUGCUCUGACUUGAGUUCAGGAGGGGAGCGGGGAAUUCCUAGUGUAGCGGUGAAAUGCGCAGAUAUUAGGAGGAACACCGGUGGCGAAGGCGCCGCUCUGGACUGAAACUGACGCUGAGGAGCGAAAGCAUGGGUAGCAAACAGGAUUAGA
rnacentral:rRNA from 1 species